rnacentral:rRNA from 1 species
UGUUGGUUAAGUCCGCAACGAGCGCAACCCUCGACCUUAGUUGCCAGCAUUCAGUUGGGCACUCUAAGGUGACUGCCGGCUAAAAGUCGGAGGAAGGUGGGGAUGACGUCAAAUCAUCAUGCCCCUUAUGACCUGGGCUACACACGUGCUACAAUGGGCGGUACAAAGGGUCGCGAACCCGCGAGGGGGAGCCAAUCCCAAAAAGCCGCUCUCAGUUCGGAUUGCAGGCUGCAACUCGCCUGCAUGAAGCCGGAAUCGCUAGUAAUCGCGGAUCAGCAUGCCGCGGUGAAUACGUUCCCGGGCCUU